rnacentral:rRNA from 1 species
GAAGUAUCUUGGUAUGUAAACCUCUUUUCUCAAGAAAGAAGUUCUGACGGUACUUGAGGAAUAAGCAUCGGCUAACUCCGUGCCAGCAGCCGCGGUAAUACGGAGGGUGCAAGCGUUAUCCGGAAUCAUUGGGCGUAAAGCGCCUGUAGGUUGUUUAGUAAGUCCAUUGUUAAAGACCAGGGCUUAACCCUGGGAAAGCAAUAGAAACUACUAGACUUGAGUAUGGCAGGGGUAGAGGGAAUUUCUAGUGUAGCGGUGAAAUGCGUAGAUAUAGGAAGGAAUACCGAUGGCGAAGGCAGCCACCUGGACCAAUACUGACGCUGAGGUGCGAAAGCGUGGGGAGCAAAC